rnacentral:rRNA from 1 species
UAGGGAAUCUUCCACAAUGGACGAAAGUCUGAUGGAGCAACGCCGCGUGAGUGAAGAAGGUUUUCGGAUCGUAAAGCUCUGUUGUUGGUGAAGAAGGAUAGAGGCAGUAACUGGUCUUUAUUUGACGGUAAUCAACCAGAAAGUCACGGCUAACUACGUCCCAG